UGACCUUAAUUGCAUUGAGUAUGAAAGUUAAGGGGCAGUCUGAUGUCUACUCUACUGCUAAAAACUACUAAGACCAGCAUAAGCUGGUUUUAGCUGGUCUCCCAGCUUAGUUUUAGCUGGUAUUGCUGGUGUAGCAAGCUGUGUUUUGGUCACCUUGACCAGCUGAUCCACCAGCUUGUAGGUUUGCCAGGCUGGGAGGACCAGCUUAAACCACCUUAAACCAGCUACCAUCUUAUGCUGGUCUUAGCUGGCUUUUCCGGUAGGGAAUAUCAAAAUUAGAUAACUUAAUUCAAUAAAUUGUGUCGUGUAAAAGUUAAUCCUGCAGCAAGAUACAGGGAAAUGCAAGAUUUUCAGUAGUGAUAUACCUAUAUUACACUAGCUCGCAACUAAGUUAUUAUGUUGGCUUGUGUGCGUGAGUGCGUGUGUGUAUUAUUAGUUAUUUAUUUAUUUUCUGUUUAUGUCCUUCAAAUUUGCAAGCUUCAAACUCUUUAUACCCCCACCACCACAAACAAACCAAAAACAAAGGCACUUUUAAUAGUCGCAUGUGUUUUGUUAAACUGUACUUGUCAGUCUCACUGUAGCACUCUCUGUUUACAUUUAUAUUUGUUUUAUCUGUUGUUCUCUUUGUUGUGAGUCUUUCUGUCUGUUUGUGUUUCUGCCCAUCAACAUGUCCAUCCAUUCAGAGCUCCAAUAUCAUCUCAUGAUCUUGGAUAACUUGGUUGAUGGUCAAGAACUGAGGAUGAGCUCCAAAGUCCUGAUGACACUCUUGGUGAGCUGCAAGAAGAGGAAGCAGCAGCGCCAGUGAAGACACCUGAGCCGAGGGUGCAUUAGAGAAAAGAGACAUUGAUGGGAAAUAUUGUCUAUGCAAGGUCAAGCAGUAAUCAACCAAGGAAAGAUCACAUUCGGAACACUGAUCCUCCCAAUGUUCUUGACAUUCAUUGUGAGGUGGGCUUUGCUCCAGAGACUGUUGGUGUACUUCAGUGUGUUUAAAUGAUCAUUUAUAUCUGUACAUAUACAGAAUAUGACAGUGGGUUAUAAUUGUUUUCUACAAGAUCACUGAACAAUUUCUCAGAGGCAUCACCUCCUGGAACCCCAAGAGAUCCUCUUCUGGCUUCCUCAAACUGGAGCACACGUCAAAGUCUCUUUUCAGAGAGGUGGAGGGCAUAGAGACCCCGUCUGCUGAACACGGCUGUGGCACAAGAAAAUGUUUGUGGGAGAAGUCCAGCUGUUAUCCAGUGUUGUGACUGUCGACCUCGCCCCUUCUUCUGUGCUGAAUGUGACGUCAUCAUGCACACCAGACAUGUCCUCCAUAGCAUAGAUGCCAUGACUGCUGAAUUCUUCCAGCCAUUAUCUUUAACAACUGUUGUGGUGGAUACGGCUCUUUCCCAUUGUGAGUCAUUAAGGGUCUGUCCAGGAAAGACAAUUGCUGUGGUCACAAUUAAUGGUGAAAUGGAGUAUGGCAUAUCAGGAUGUUGCUGGAUUAACACUAGGAGAGGAGGUGGAACAGUGCAAUGCCUUCCUCUCUAGGAUCGCAGUGACCACAAAACCCAAGUCAAAAGCAAGUAAAACAACUGCACUAGCAGGUGCAAUACUGCACU